GCAGUCGAGCGAACUGAUUAGAAGCUUGCUUCUAUGACGUUAGCGGCGGACGGGUGAGUAACACGUGGGCAACCUGCCUGUAAGACUGGGAAACUUCGGGAGACCGAAGCUAAUACCGGAAGGACUUUCCUUCAUGGGAGAUGAUUGAAAGAGGUUCGGCUAUCACUUACAAUGGGCCCGCGGUGCAUACUAUUGGUAGGUAACGGCUCACCAGCACAUCUACCACCUGAAGGUGAUCGGCCACACUGGACUGAACCGGCCCAACUCCUACGAGCACAU
rnacentral:rRNA from 1 species